rnacentral:rRNA from 1 species
AUUGAACGCUGGCGGCAGGCCUAACACAUGCAAGUCGAGCGAGAGGCGGACGGGUGAGAAAAGUCUGGGAAACUGCCUGAUGGAGGGGGAUAACUCCAGGAAACGGUAGCUAAAACCGCAUACCAUCAGAUGUGUCCAGAUGGGAUAAGCUAGUAGGUGGGGGAAUGGCUCACCUAGGCGACGAUCCCUAGCUGGUCUGAGAGGAUGACCCGCCACACUGGAACUGAGACACGGUCCAGACUCCUACGGGAGGCAGCAGUGGGGAAUAUUGCACAAUGGGCGCAAGCCUGAUGCAGCCAUGCCGCGUGUAUGAAGAAGGCCUUCGGGUUGUAAAGUACUUUCAGCGAGGAGGCGUUACUCGCAGAAGAAGCACCGGCUAACUCCGUGCCAGCAGCCGCGGUAAUUC